UACGAAGGGUGCAAGCGUUACUCGGAAUUACUGGGCGUAAAGCGUGCGUAGGUGGUGAGUUAAGUCUGUCGUGAAAGCCCCGGGCUCAACCUGGGAAUGGCGAUGGAUACUGGCUCGCUAGAGUGCGGUAGAGGAGAGUGGAAUUCCCGGGUGUAGCAGUGAAAUGCGUAGAGAUCGGGAGGAACAUCAGUUGCGAAGGCGGCUCUCUGGACCAGCACUGACACUGAGGCACGAAAGCGUGGGGAGCGAACAGG
rnacentral:rRNA from 1 species